AGCAGAUUGUAUGAAAAUAAUUUGCCAAAACACAAAAUAAUUUGCCAUAAGAGUGCAUUUGACUUUAUUAUCUAAAUGUCCAGAAGCCCAAAGGUGAUGUUGAAUUCAAAGUGUGUUUAUUCAAUACGUUCUGAGCGUGGCUGCAUUCUAGAUCGUAUAGCCUGAACUGUUUUCUAAAACUCCCAUCAGUAAUGUUAAUUUUGCUAGCCUAACCUUAGGACCUUUCUCACAGAAAGCCUAUUUAAAGCAAAGCCUAGCAUAUUGAACUGAAUGUCCUGCAAAGAAUGUGUCAGCGAGAAAGACCUUGAUUGGGUAUUAUUAAUUAUUAUACAUUUUCUUUACCUCUGUCCACCUGCUGAUUUUAUGAAUGAUAGACACCUCCAAGGUCAUAUUCGGAUAACAAGCGCUGUUUUUGCCCCUUCUCGUUUGAUUCAUUUCCUCAUGCUCUUCUCCCUCUCUUGGACAGAUGCUGCCAGGGGCAUUAGCACAGUGGCAUUGUGGUUGCUCUGCCAGCUCCCAUCAGCGCAUACCUGGCAUCAGACAAUCACCUUGACCCCCUGGUGAGAAAAGAAGGGGCUCUGGCUGUUCUCCAAGAUUCUCCUUCCUCCUACUCCAAUCAUGCCCAUGCAUGGACUCGACACAUGUGCAGCAGUCAAAUACAAAUUGUGACAAUCACCAAGCAGGUCUAUUACAGUCAGAUUUACCACCGCUGGGAAGCACAGCAGGUAACAUAGAGCUACAGUUGUUAUGCCAACUGUGCUGCAAAUACCUAAUUGCAGAAACACCAUCAAUUGGCUGCUGCUGCACAGGCGGAAAUGUGGUGUUUAAAGACCAGCCGAUCUGGAAAACGAGAGAACUGGGAACUGCUGACAAAACACUUCAGCUGUUCCAAAGUUUGAGAAUUAUGAGAACAGUACCUGAACAAAAGAGCAGAAACAUGAACUCUCCAGAGAAGCCGAACUCCUGCAGCGAGCCAAAACCAAACAGUAGGCGCCUUUUCAGGUUCCUUUUAGGUUUCACAAAGCAUUCUGGGAUGAUGGAGAAAUAAACAAAUUCCAUUUUUAGAUAUGGAUAUAUACAGUAUUGCUGUGGUUAUUGUAAUGUUAACUACGUUGAGG
ensembl:lncRNA